GACGCCCUUGGGGUGUUGUUGGGUAGGGGAGCGUCGUGCACGUGUUGAAGCAGCCUGGUGACGGUGUUGUGGAGUGUGUGCGAGUGAGAAUGCAGGCAUGAGUAACGAUUGAUGAGUGAGAACCUCAUCCGCCGGAUGACUAAGGGUUCCUGGGUCAAGUUAAUCUUCCCAGGGUGAGUCGGGGCCUAAGGCGAGGCCGACAGGCGUAGUCGAUGGGAAUGCAGUGAAUAUUCUGCAGCCAGUGGAUGGUGACGAAUUGCGUAUGUUGUCUGACCUUACUGGAUUGGUCGGGCCUCGAAGCAGUUCCAGGAAAUAGCCUCCACAUUAGACCGUACCCGAAACCGACACAGGUGGACUGGUAGAGUAUACCAAGGCGCUUGAGAGAACUAUGUUGAAGGAACUCGGCAAUUUACCUCCGUAACUUCGGGAUAAGGAGGCCCAUUGCUCGCGCAAGCGGGCAGUGGGGGCACAGACCAGGGGGUGGCAACUGUUUAACAAAAACACAGGGCUCUGCGAAAUCGUAAGAUGACGUAUAGGGUCUGACGCCUGCCCGGUGCCGGAAGGUUAAGAGGAGAGGUGCAAGCCUUGAAUCGAAGCCCCGGUAAACGGCGGCCGUAACUAUAACGGUCCUAAGGUAGCGAAAUUCCUUGUCGGGUAAGUUCCGACCUGCACGAAUGGCGUAAUGACUUCCCCGCUGUCUCCAACAUAGACUCAGUGAAAUUGAAUUCCCCGUGAAGAUGCGGGGUUCCUGCGGUCAGACGGAAAGACCCCGUGCACCUUUACUGUAGCUUUGCGCUGGUAUUCGUGACUGUUUGUGUAGAAUAGGUGGUAGACUUUGAAGCCAGGGCGCCAGCUCGGGUGGAGUCGCAAUGUGAAAUACCACCCUAAUGGUUAUGGAUAUCUAACCGCAUCCCGUCAUCCGGGAUCGGGACAGCGCAUGGUGGGCAGUUUGACUGGGGCGGUCGCCUCCCAAAGAGUAACGGAGGCGUGCGAAGGUAGGCUCAGAACGGUCGGAAAUCGUUCGUCGAGUAUAAUGGCAUAAGCCUGCCUGACUGCGAGAUCUACGAAUCGAGCAGAGACGAAAGUCGGUCAUAGUGAUCCGGUGGUCCCGCGUGGAUGGGCCAUCGCUCAACGGAUAAAAGGUACGCCGGGGAUAACAGGCUGAUGACGCCCAAGAGUCCAUAUCGACGGCGUCGUUUGGCACCUCGAUGUCGGCUCAUCUCAUCCUGGGGCUGAAGCAGGUCCCAAGGGUAUGGCUGUUCGCCAUUUAAAGAGGUACGCGAGCUGGGUUUAGAACGUCGUGAGACAGUUCGGUCCCUAUCCGUCGUGGGCGUAGGAAAUUUGAGAGGAGCUGUCCUUAGUACGAGAGGACCGGGAUGGACAUACCUCUGGUGUACCAGUUGUCGUGCCAACGGCAUAGCUGGGUAGCUAUGUAUGGACGGGAUAAGUGCUGAAAGCAUCUAAGCAUGAAGCCCCCCUCAAGAUGAGAUUUCCCAACUUCGGUUAUAAGAUCCCUCGAAGAUGACGAGGUUAAUAGGUUCGAGGUGGAAGCGUGGUGACACGUGGAGCUGACGAAUACUAAUCGAUCGAAGACUUAA
rnacentral:rRNA from 1 species